GGGUGGCUGAAGGCCCAGCCGGCUGCCUGCUGGCACAGCUGGGGUCUGUCACCGUCUGCAGGGACUGCGAGGUGUCCUCAGCAAACAGUGAAAUGCCCGGCUCCCCACGAAGCAGCGUGAGGGUGCUGAGUUCAGAAAGCCAGUGACAUCUUGUUGCUGCUGGGUGAGAGGCCGGUGGAGCCCCUGGCGUGGCCCUGGCUGCCCACGGUCUGUCUGGGGCUUGCAGGGUACCACAGCAUGAUAGAGCUUGUGGCAGCGCGUGUUACCUGUUUUACUGCUGUUUUUUUCCCCAGAGCUUUGAAGGAGACAAAGAGGGCUUUAUUUCAGCUCCAAGCCAAAUACUUGAGAGAAAAAUAUCAUCCCCGCCGUUUUCCCGUACUGCAGGAAAAGCAGAGGCAGGGAGAACUACAGGCCACAUACUAUAUGGAAAUAAAUACUAGUUAUAUGUGGACACCUUUGCUGAAGUUGCUAAGGAGCAGAGCUAGCAAUUUCCUUCUCAAAAUCCAGAUAUAUCAAACAACAUAAAUUUAAAAGAUACCGUUUUGGAGCCUGCAUAAUUUCUGGAGAAAAUGUGGAUUUAAGGCACACGUUCUUGAUUAAGGUGUUUAAGAGAAUAUGAAGAACUUCCUGCAGUCUGGACUUUUGCUUCAGAGAGGCUGAGGAUUUGGAAAGUACAUUUUUGUACCCCAGAAUGAAAACAUGCUAGUAGAGCUAUGCACAGUAUGUUUAUAUUCUGCACAGGAAUUCAUUGUGUUUAUAAUAAUCAAAUUGACAUCUAUGUUUUCAGUGACUACUUGGAUGAAAUAAAGAAUGAAGUGUUA